UACAGAGGUGGCAAGCGUUGUUCGGAAUUACUGGGCGUAAAGGGCGCGUAGGCGGCCUUCUAAGUCAGACGUGGAAUCCCCAGGCUUAACUUGGGAACUGCGUCUGAUACUGGGAGGCUUGAGUGCGGGAGAGGGAUGUGGAAUUCCAGGUGUAGCGGUGAAAUGCGUAGAUAUCUGGAGGAACACCGGUGGCGAAGGCGGCAUUCUGGACCGACAUUGACGCUGAGGAGCGAAAGCCAGGGGAGCAAACGGG
rnacentral:rRNA from 1 species